UCCCUGCGGCACACGAGCCGGUCCGUGAUGGAGCAGCUCCAAUGCCCAGGUUCCACUGAUGAGCUUAUCCCCACUUUUCGUUAUUCUGGUGCUGUGGGUCUUUCCCUUGCAGACCGUUCAGCUCUCAUUUUCCGACCCUGCAGCGCCUGCCCACAUGGGCCGGAGGAGCCCUGGACGUUCCGGUCUCUGCCCGUAGUGCCCUUCCGAGCGGUGCCCCGACCACCCUCUGUGCAGUCAGUGGUCAGUCCGGGCACACCCGUCGACUCUGCUGCUUGAGUUCCUUCCCAGCACGUGGCAGACGUGAAUUUGACCGUCAUGGACUUGGUUGUAUCAAAAUAGUCGUGUUAUUUCUCUACGACACAAUUCUGCAUGGCUCACAGCCCCCGUUUCCACUAGAGAGCGACACUGUGACAACCUGAGCAUUUUGACCUGGAGAUGGAACUGACUCAGGAAACAGAAGGAGUGCCAGGAAGAACUGAGGACCCCCUGGAGGCCAUGCCCAUGGGUGUGUGGUUCAUCAGCUCUGUGUGCCUGUGGAGUCCCUUUAGCAGCACUCAAGCCCUGGUGGGCUGGAUCCUGGGCUGGGCUCUUGCCAGGAAGCUGCGAUGCAGGAAUAUGAGACCUGAACCUUCCUUUCCCACUGUGGAGGGGUUACAGUUUGAAGGAAGCAAUUCACUUAUCCAUCUAAUUUCCAGAAGAUCUUGAUUGUGAAGUGCUGUUUGUAGAUACCAUCAGAGAUGACCAGCGAAAUAUGUUCUCUGUGGAUUCCAUCCCCAGUCGUGGCUGCUUAAGAUAAUAGACAACUGAAUUAUAGAAAUGAAAGGCGGGAAAAGGCAGGAGUCUACAGGCUGCCCAUGAAAAUUUGCAGAGGAGAAUUUAUGAAUUUGAGUUAUACAGACAGGAGCAGACUGUCUUGCAUAGAGGAAACAACAA